UAGGGAAUCUUCGGCAAUGGGGGCAACCCUGACCGAGCAACGCCGCGUGAGUGAAGAAGGUUUUCGGAUCGUAAAGCUCUGUUGUAAGAGAAGAACGUGUGUGAGAGUGGAAAGUUCACACAGUGACGGUAACUUACCAGAAAGGGACGGCUAACUACGUGCCAGCAGCCGCGGUAAUACGUAAGUCCCGAGCGUUGUCCGGAUUUAUUGGGCGUAAAGCGAGCGCAGGCGGUUUAAUAAGUCUGAAGUUAAAGGCAGUGGCUUAACCAUUGUUCGCUUUGGAAACUGUUAAACUUGAGUGCAGAAGGGGAGAGUGGAAUUCCAUGUGUAGCGGUGAAAUGCGUAGAUAUAUGGAGGAACACCGGUGGCGAAAGCGGCUCUCUGGUCUGUAACUGACGCUGAGGCUCGAAAGCGUGGGGAGCAAACAGG
rnacentral:rRNA from 1 species